rnacentral:rRNA from 1 species
CCUACGGGAGGCAGCAGUGAGGAAUAUUGGUCAAUGGGCGGGAGCCUGAACCAGCCAAGUCGCGUGAGGGAAGACGGUCCUAUGGAUUGUAAACCUCUUUAGGCGGGGAGCAAUGCCGGGCACGCGUGCCCGGAGGGAGAGUACCCGCAGAAUAAGCAUCGGCUAACUCCGUGCCAGCAGCCGCGGUAAUACGGAGGAUGCGAGCGUUAUCCGGAUUUAUUGGGUUUAAAGGGUGCGUAGGCGGAUUUUUAAGUCAGUGGUAAAAUGUCCGGGCUCAACCAGGGCCGGCCGUUGAAACUGGGAGUCUUGAGUAGGCGUGAAGUAUGCGGAAGGCGUGGUGUAGCGGUGAAAUGCAUAGAUAUCACGCAGAACUCCGAUUGCGAAGGCAGCAGACCGGCGCCCGACUGACACUGAGGCACGAAGGCGUGGGGAUCGAACAGGAUUAGAUACCCUUGUAGUC